rnacentral:rRNA from 1 species
CACAGAGGGUGCGAGCGUUGUCCGGAAUCACUGGGCGUAAAGGGCGCGUAGGCGGCUUGAUAAGGUUGCGGUGAAAGCCCGGGGCUCAACCCCGGGUCGGCCGUGGCAACUGUCGAGCUGGAGCACUGUAGAGGCAGGUGGAAUUCCGGGUGUAGCGGUGGAAUGCGUAGAGAUCCGGAAGAACACCGGUGGCGAAGGCGGCCUGCUGGGCAGUGGCUGACGCUGAGGCGCGACAGCGUGGGGAGCAAACAGG